rnacentral:rRNA from 1 species
UACAGAGGGGGCACGCGUUAUUCGGAAUUAUUGGGCGAAAAGGGCGCGUAGGCGGUUUUUUAAGUCGGAUGUGCAAUCCCCAGGCUCAACCUGGGAACUGCAUCCGAGACUGGAAGGCUAGAGUACUGGAGAGGGUGGUGGAAUUCCACGUGUAGCAGUGAAAUGCGUAGAUAUGUGGAGGAAUACCGAUGGCGAAGGCAGCCCCCUGGGUCGAUACUGACGCUCAUGCACGAAAGCGUGGGGAGCAAACAGG